AUACUUACCUUGCGGCGCCUUCCCAAGAUCAAAAACCCGGGGAGGUAGCAUGGAAAACCUGCAUUGCACAUCGUGGAGUUAUCUAUGUGUCACUGUCCUUAGGGGCCGUGAGCGGUGGAAUUUUUGAUUUUCCCUUCUUUUCGCUAUACGC
rnacentral:snRNA from 15 species